rnacentral:lncRNA from 1 species
AUAUCAAGGCAUGUUCUGAAAGCACAUCAUGUUAAUAUUAAACCUCAUCAGGAAAGCAAGUCUUUGUGGUACCAAGAUCCCCAACCAGAUUUCUGCAGGGGCAAAACUGGAAGCAUUGCUGAUUGUGUUCCAUAGCCUUCCAGUACAGAAACCUGCAGCCCAGCUUGUCUACUGGGUGGUCUCUCAGCCUUGGCUUUUAAGGAUAUAACCUGCUCCAUGGCCAGCUGCCUUGGGCCUAACAAACCAAAGUAUUCCCAAAAGAUUUCUAAGGGAAGUGACAGCCCACGGACUUUUAGAAUCAGGUCACUUGAUUGGAGUGAGAUUUUCAAGGACUGUCACCUGGGGAGAAGGAGUUGAACAUGAGGAAAAGGAAUCCAGGGCCCAAACUGCUUCUCCUGACCUCAAUCUGGUGUGGAUGGUGGGCUAACUACUUCCUGAAGUGAUGUGUUAUUCAAAUGUGAGACAGUUGGCCCCUGGAGGAGAGAGCAUAUCCUAGGGUGGAUGUCAGGAUACCCAAGAGGUGAUGUGUUUGAGUGCUCAUGAAGUUAGGUGAUCCUCCAUUUUAGCCUGAGAUGUCUUCUCAGCAGGUGUCAGUGGCAAAGACGGGACCUGAUGGUUUAAAUGAAUCACUCCACGAAGAAAAUGAAAGUGGCCUAAAUUUUAAAAUUCUGUUUUAACCCUGUCUCCCAAAACAACUCACUUCUUGUCCCUCCUUUUAAGUAAAAGAAGCUUGAAGAGAUGUGUCCCACCGUGAUCCUCCAGGAAGGUUAAUGAAUCUUUCUAGCGAUUCGUAGAUGGCAGCAGCCUGGUCUCUAAAUCUAGAUGCAAAAUCUGUACCCCAUAUGGAUGUUUAUUGAAGAUUUGGUCUCUCUUGAUCAAUGCUGCAGUCAGGCCUUCCCAAGACCUUAUCUGGAAAUCCCUACCUAAGUGCAUAAACCUCACUGACAGUCCUAAAUAACGGUAGUGAUUUUUUUUUUUUCAAGUAUUGGUAAUUGGUAACAUGAGUCACCUUGCCAACCUGUUAGAUAUUUUUUUAGUAGUUUUGUGGUUUAUAACUUGGCUCAUUUUUGCUAUUUCUCAAUUAUUUAUGGCCAAAUAUGUCUUAUUCACAGUUUAGCAUUAUUCUUCAUUGUGCCCAGCAUUAAGUAAUUUGCUCCUAAGAAAACUGGUCAAAUAUUAAUGUUUCGAACUAUUAAUUAUAUAUUCUUUUUCCUUUUUUUAUCUCAGCAUGAUUUUAUAACUUUCAGAUGAUAGUUCAAGUUUUUAAUUUUUAAAACUUAGGUUCAUUUUUCUCUUUGUCACUCAUUGCAUGAAAACGAUUAGUCAAAAGCCAAGAACUAGCACUCCUUAAAUUAUAAAUUAUACAUAAUGAGAAAAACUCUUAUCAGUGGUUUCAAACCUUGCUGUGUGUAUAAUCAUUUGGAAGCUUCUUUAAAAAGUAGUUUCAUGUGCCUCAUUCCACCCCUACUGGAUCAGAACUUCUCCAAGUAGGUUCUCAGGAACUGUUUUUAAACAAAUUUCUAGGAUGACUAUUGUGUCCCUAAAAUGUGUCUAGUUGGAAAAGGAGCAUUUUUGAAACAGUGAUCUGGGAGUUUGCAUCGUGGCUCAGCUGUAACGAACUCAACUAGUAUCCAUGAGGAUGUGGGUUGGAUCCCUCGCUCAAUGGGUUAAGUAUUCUGUGUUGCCAUGAGCUGUGGUGAAAAUUAUGUACGAAGCUUGGAUCCUGUGUUGCUGUGGCUGUGGCAUAGGCUGGCGGCUACAGCUCUGAUUCACCCCCUAGCCUGGGAACUUCCAUAUGCCACAGGUGUGGCUCUUAAGAAAAAAGAAAGAGGAGUUCCUGUCUCGGAUUUAUUUCCACUGUACCAUGAAGGGAACUGCCAUAUGAUUUUUUUAGCAGUAUAGAAAGUUACCAGAGAAAAUAAAGAAUGGAUCCUAAUGUAAACUUAGUUUGAGAAAUGGUUUGCCACCAUUUUACUUGAUUGUGCACUCACACGUGUGUGUGCACUUGUGUGUGUGUGUGUGUGUGUGUGUGUGUGUGUGUUGAGAGGAGGAAGUGACAUUGAUGCCUGUGGUGUGUAGAAUUUUUUCCUCUAUUAAAGUGCUUUUUAAAUUCUCCCUUUUGCCUUCCCUUGGCAAUUUCAAAGGAAAUUGAAUUUAAAUAUGCUUUCCUAGCUGCAUUUAAAUGUAUGUAAAUGGAUUGUAAAUAAAAACUUUAAAGGAAAUGAAAAUGCUUUACAAAUAUCCCAUUAAUUCUCCAAGCAUCCCUAUAUGACUCUGAAAAGGGCAGUUGUCAUAGAAUCUAAAGGCUAGAAGAGACCCUUCAGCAAAUCUAUGAGUAGCCAUUACAGAAAUAUAAUUGGCCACUUUCUCUUUAAAAUGUUCAGAAAAGGAUGGAAUUCCCUGGUGGCUCAGCAGGUUAAGAGUCUGGCAUUGUCACUACUGUGGGGCCGCUGGCCACUGUGGCACAGGUUCAAUCCCUGGCCCCAGAACUUCCUUGUGCUGUGGGCACAUCCAAAAAAAAAAAAAAAAA